ACUGCCAGAGCACAGACCUUCUCUGGCACCUUUUAAGCCACUGAGUUUAAAAUGGGGUAUUAAUUGUCCUUAAAACCAAAGUAUUCACAUCUCGGUCUUUUAUCCACCUCCAUAGAGUAGAUCUGUUCUUUGUUAUGUUGUCUAACUUUAGUGCUCUUCUGACCAUUCUGGAACUCCAUAAUGAAAUGCCUAAUGCAAGAAUUGAUGUUUCUUCUAUCAUGGUUCAUUAGUGAUAGUCCUCAACGUACAACCACAAUUAGGACCUUAAUUGUUAAGCAAGGUAGUUGUUAAAUGAGUCAUGUCCAAUUUUAUGAUUUUUUUUAAUAAGGUUGUUAAACGAAGUCAUUUUUUUUCAGUCCAUUGUAACUUUGAAUGGUCAUUAAAUAAAUGGAUGUAAGUGGAGAACUAUUAUAAUUGUUCCCUCUCUCUUUCCAGUCACUUUUCCUCUCACCUGAGAAGAUUUCUUUGUACAUGUAGUAGGUUACAUGCUCAGAACAAUUCUUUUCCUAGGCCAGUUUUCCACCUUGCAUUUAUCAGAGAACAAAAAUGAUUGGCCUGUUUGGGUGAUUAUUGAUGGAGGACAGUGUUGCUACCGUACUUUCUCCAUUCUGUCGGAGGUUUAGGAGUUCUUACUGAAGGCAACUGGAAGCUGAAGGCCUUCAACAGGCUGGUCAGAAAGAUGAAGAUCUCAAUUCUUGCCAGUUGCUCUCCCACACAUACACGCUGACCUGUAGGCCCAGCUUCCACAGAGAAGUGACGUCAAUGUGUCGCUGCUGUUUCCAGGUGUGGCCAUUGGAGAAAAUAAUUCCCGAGGACAUCGGCAGACAGAAAUAAGUGAUUCCUUAUAAAUUUAUGUUUAAAAAAAAAUCUGUUAGAUCUGAUCUUCCAAACAUCUUUCUGGAUUUCAGGUGAGUUGACCAUAUAGAGAGAAUUGAUGAAAAUCCAAGCUGGAGAAAGUGGCAAAAUUUGAAGGAAGAGGCAAUUUUUUUAAAAAAAAGGCAAAAUAUGAAACAAAGGAAAGGAUUGAAGAGGCAAGGGAAGAUU